GCCUUCGUGGUGUAAUGGUCAGCACAGUGAACCGGUAUUUCAGAGGUCCGUGGUUCGAUCCCCGGCAAAAGCA
rnacentral:tRNA from 1 species